UGAUAUUUUGUUUUCUAAAAAUCAAUAAAUUUUUUCAAAUUUCCUUAAAUUAAUUUUAUUGUUAUUUUCAAAUUUACCUGAGUUAAUAACUUGAAUAGAAGAUGAAAAGUUGCCACAUCACAGUAUUUGAGGUAUCUGAAAGUCUUCUGUUUUGAAUAAAAAAAUAAGCAAAGACAAUUUGCCCUACCACCAAACACCAAACAGCUGUCCACUGUUUUCCUGCUCUUUGGCUUCUCCUCUGUAUUUUGUCAACUGUCAUGUCACCAGUUAUAACUGCCUGCGUCUGCUGUGCGCUAGUUGGUUUCUAGUCGUGGCAGUGAGACUCCACAUUCUGACGUAGGACCCAACUGCCCAGAUGUAUGGUUCAGUUCCUGUAUUGUCCCUUUGCCCACCUUACACCGGGAACAUGUCGUAAUGAAAAAGUCAUUCUUCCCUUCAUCCUCCACCUUCUAAUUGCUUGGAAUAUGGUUCUCUCAACCUUAAAAAUCGACAUCCAGCCUUACCCAGACAACUUCACAGGCAUCAACGGCUAUCAGGAUACAGUUAGCUAG
rnacentral:lncRNA from 1 species